UAAGGAAUAUUGGUCAAUGGAGGCAACUCUGAACCAGCCAUGCCGCGUGCAGGAAGACAGCCCUCUGGGUCGUAAACUGCUUUUAUUCGGGAAUAAACCUCGUUACGUGUAGCGAGCUGAAUGUACCGAAGGAAUAAGGAUCGGCUAACUCCGUGCCAGCAGCCGCGGUAAUACGGAGGAUCCAAGCGUUAUCCGGAUUUAUUGGGUUUAAAGGGUGCGUAGGCGGCUUUUUAAGUCAGGGGUGAAAGACGUUAGCUCAACUAACGCAGUGCCCUUGAUACUGAAGAGCUUGAAUGGACUAGAGGUAGGCGGAAUGUGACAAGUAGCGGUGAAAUGCAUAGAUAUGUCACAGAACACCGAUUGCGAAGGCAGCUUACUAUGGUUUAAUUGACGCUGAGGCACGAAAGCGUGGGGAUCAAACAGG
rnacentral:rRNA from 1 species